UACGUAGGGUGCAAGCGUUUGUCCGGAAUUUAUUGGGCGUAAAGAGCUCGUAGGCGGUCUGUCGCGUCGGCUGUGAAAACUCGGGGCUCAACUCCGAGCUUGCAGUCGAUACGGGCAGGCUAGAGUUCGGCAGGGGAGACUGGAAUUCCUGGUGUAGCGGUGAAAUGCGCAGAUAUCAGGAGGAACACCGGUGGCGAAGGC
rnacentral:rRNA from 1 species